rnacentral:tRNA from 1 species
GCACCCGUAGCUCAGUUGGAUAGAGCGGCGGCCUUCUAAUCCGCGGGUCGGGGGUUCGACUCCCUCCGGGUGCGCCA